rnacentral:rRNA from 1 species
ACAUGCAAGUCGAACGGUGAAGCCAAGCUUGCUUGGUGGAUCAGUGGCGAACGGGUGAGUAACACGUGAGCAACCUGCCCUGGACUCUGGGAUAAGCGCUGGAAACGGUGUCUAAUACUGGAUAUGAGCUCCUUCCGCAUGGUGGGGGUUGGAAAGAUUUUUCGGUCUGGGAUGGGCUCGCGGCCUAUCAGCUUGUUGGUGAGGUAAUGGCUCACCAAGGCGUCGACGGGUAGCCGGCCUGAGAGGGUGACCGGCCACACUGGGACUGAGACACGGCCCAGACUCCUACGGGAGGCAGCAGUGGGGAAUAUUGCACAAUGGGCGGAAGCCUGAUGCAGCAACGCCGCGUGAGGGAUGACGGCCUUCGGGUUGUAAACCUCUUUUAGCAGGGAAGAAGCUUUUGUGACGGUACCUGCAGAAAAAGCGCCGGCUAACUACGUGCCAGCAGCCGCGGUAAUACGUAGGGCGCAAGCGUUAUCCGGAAUUAUUGGGCGUAAAGAGCUCGUAGGCGGUUUGUCGCGUCUGCUGUGAAAUCCCGAGGCUCAACCUCGGGCCUGCAGUGGGUACGGGCAGACUAGAGUGCGGUAGGGGAGAUUGGAAUUCCUGGUGUAGCGGUGGAAUGCGCAGAUAUCAGGAGGAACACCGAUGGCGAAGGCAGAUCUCUGGGCCGUAACUGACGCUGAGGAGCGAAAGGGUGGGGAGCAAACAGGCUUAGAUACCCUGGUAGUCCACCCCGUAAACGUUGGGAACUAGUUGUGGGGACCAUUCCACGGUUUCCGUGACGCAGCUAACGCAUUAAGUUCCCCGCCUGGGGAGUACGGCCGCAAGGCUAAAACUCAAAGGAAUUGACGGGGACCCGCACAAGCGGCGGAGCAUGCGGAUUAAUUCGAUGCAACGCGAAGAACCUUACCAAGGCUUGACAUACACCAGAACACCGUAGAAAUACGGGACUCUUUGGACACUGGUGAACAGGUGGUGCAUGGUUGUCGUCAGCUCGUGUCGUGAGAUGUUGGGUUAAGUCCCGCAACGAGCGCAACCCUCGUUCUAUGUUGCCAGCACGUAAUGGUGGGAACUCAUGGGAUACUGCCGGGGUCAACUCGGAGGAAGGUGGGGAUGACGUCAAAUCAUCAUGCCCCUUAUGUCUUGGGCUUCACGCAUGCUACAAUGGCCGGUACAAAGGGCUGCAAUACCGUGAGGUGGAGCGAAUCCCAAAAAGCCGGUCCCAGUUCGGAUUGAGGUCUGCAACUCGACCUCAUGAAGUCGGAGUCGCUAGUAAUCGCAGAUCAGCAACGCUGCGGUGAAUACGUUCCCGGGUCUUGUACACACCGCCCGUCAAGUCAUGAAAGUCGGUAACACCUGAAGCCGGUGGCCCAACCCUUGUGGAGGGAGCCGUCGAAGGUGG